GAGUUUGAUCCUGGCUCAGAUUGAACGCUGGCGGCAGGCCUAACACAUGCAAGUCGAACGGUAACAGAAAGCAGCUUGCUGCUUUGCUGACGAGUGGCGGACGGGUGAGUAAUGUCUGGGAAACUGCCUGAUGGAGGGGGAUAACUACUGGAAACGGUAGCUAAUACCGCAUAACGUCGCAAGACCAAAGAGGGGGACCUUCGGGCCUCUUGCCAUCGGAUGUGCCCAGAUGGGAUUAGCUUGUUGGUGGGGUAACGGCUCACCAAGGCGACGAUCUCUAGCUGGUCUGAGAGGAUGACCAGCCACACUGGAACUGAGACACGGUCCAGACUCCUACGGGAGGCAGCAGUGGGGAAUAUUGCACAAUGGGCGCAAGCCUGAUGCAGCCAUGCCGCGUGUAUGAAGAAGGCCUUCGGGUUGUAAAGUACUUUCAGCGGGGAGGAAGGGAGUAAAGUUAAUACCUUU
rnacentral:rRNA from 1 species